AGAGAGAGGAAGAAUGGCAGACAGGGUAGUAUGAACCGUAUCGAAUUGUUUGCAGAAAGUCAACUUGUAGAAAUAUGAUGGAAGAAGCAAACGUCUGACUCGAUAAUGAACAACUGAGUAACUUCAAGAUCCACCAACCAACUGCUGCAGUGAAAUCAAGGAAAUGGUGCAGAAGGAUGGGAGCUGUUGCUCGUCUCUACAGCACAUCCGUGGCCCUAUUUUACUGCCUAUAAAUUAUUCUGCUGUAUACUAUGUCCUGUGCAAUUAUUGGUGUAUUUCUACACCAUGCUAAAAAGGUUUUAUAUUUAUUCCUAUUUUUCUUUUUUAUUUAAUGUGUAUUAUGUGUGUAUUUAUUUAAUGUUCUUAUUUAAGCUACCCGGUGCAAGAUCAAUAUAGUCUAAUCUAUCACAAGCAUGACUGCAUGUGAGCAAAUCUUCCAUUGAGAAAUUAAUGAGAGAUGGACAAGAAGUGAAAUCUACGCAAAUCAAAAAGAAAUCGUGUUUUCAGAUGAGACAAAAGUCACUAGAACCUCUGAAGGUGGUUCUGGGAUAUCAGAGGUCUUUGUCAAUUGCUAAGUGGUUAUCCAACGGAGGUUGAGGGCAAGUGGACUUGGUUGAAGAAACUAGAAGAAGACUUUUCGUCCCUCAUCCAAGAGACUUCUUCAGUUCAGACUGACUGGCUAUUUAACCUCUGUGGGAUCGUUAGCUAAGAUCGUCUAUACCACUGGUUCAUUAGUGCUCCUGGCUGUGGCAACGACCGUCGUCAUGGUCGUUAGAGCCACCCGUGGCCGAGUCUGAACGACCAUCUUUGGCAUCUUCACCUGAAGCCAAGAGGAAAGGCUUGUUUAGUUUCCAGGAAGUGAUGAAAGGACCGCAUUGUAAUUGGGGGAUAAGUGUUGGCGUAGACCCCCUCCUCUGUUCGGUGACGGCUUCUCGACCCUCUCUCCUCGUCCCCUGUAAUGUUGGUCUUCUUCCUGUCCUUUCAUCACUUCCCAGGAUACUGAACAAGCAUUUCCUCUUGGCCUCAGGUGAAAAUGCCAAUGACGGUCAUUCAUUGGCUCUAACGGCCAUAACGACUGUCGUUACCACAGCAGAAGCCCUAACGAACCAGCGGUAUCGACAAUCCUAGCUAACGAUCCUACAGCCAGUCAGAACUGAAGAAGUCUCUCGGAUGAGGGACCAAACGUCUUCUUCUAGUUUCUUCUACAAAGUCCAGUUGCCCUUGAACUCAACCUUCGUUGGAUAACUAUGACCUGGAUGACUGAGAACAUUCACGGACAUCUUGCUAAGUGGUUGUGACCAGGUGGCUGUUUAUAUAAAAUCAAAACGUGUAAGCUCAGUAAAAGUUAAUUUCAUGUAAGAGCUGUUUUAUUGGGUUGACAUCUUCAGUGCAGUAUGUGGUUGCAAUGGAUUGAACAGCCUGUAUUGAAUAAAGCAGGCACUGAGUGUAGCUGCUGAUUAUUCCUCAAAGGUAAGCUUGUGUUUUUGUUGAGAUAUUUGAGGAUGUAAAAAUGAAACGUUUUCUUCAGACUUUGUGAUUUUUGACUUUUGAAUGUGUAAAAAAUUUUGCUGUGUUGAUGCAACAUAAAUAUAAUAUAUAAUGAAAACUUUUUUUUUUAACUAUCCCACUUUUGUAAAGUCUAAACUGACAGAUUCCGUUUUAUAUUUAGACUCCAUGAAAUAAUGCUUUGUUGUGGUAUUUAUGAACUGAUGCACAGCAGAUGGAACGUGGUAUUCCAUAAAGAAAGGGCCUGCGCACACUAAACACUAUUAAAACAAAUUUUAACCUGUA